GAUGAACGCUGGCGGCGUGCCUAAUACAUGCAAGUCGAGCGAACAGACGAGGAGCUUGCUCCUCUGACGUUAGCGGCGGACGGGUGAGUAACACGUGGAUAACCUACCUAUAAGACUGGGAUAACUUCGGGAACCCGGAGCUACUACCGGCUAAUAUAUUGAACCGCAUGGUUCAAUAGUGACAGCCGGUUUUGCUGUCACUUAUAGCUGGAUCCGCGCCGCAUUAGCUAGUUGGUAAGGUAACGGCUUACCAAGGCAACGAUGCGUAGCCGACCUGAGAGGGUGAUCGGCCACACUGGAACUGAGACACGGUCCAGACUCCUACGGGAGGCAGCAGUAGGGAAUCUUCCGCAAUGGGCGAAAGCCUGACGGAGCAACGCCGCGUGAGUGAUGAAGGUCUUCGGAUCGUAAAACUCUGUUAUUAGGGAAGAACAAAUGUGUAAGUAACUAUGCACGUCUUGACGGUACCUAAACAGAAAGCACCGGCUAACUACGUG
rnacentral:rRNA from 1 species